AAAAAUUCAGCCUGGGGAGAAGCCCCAGACAUUACAGGAAAAUGCUUCUAAUAGAACUUUGAUUUUCUUACCCUUCAGAGAAGCCAUACUGGGGUAAAUGGAUAUUUGAGUGUGGCAAAAACAAUUGUUGGAGAGUCAUACAUGGGUUUGCAUUCUCCUAGACAAAAAUCAGAGUUCCUGAAUGAAGAAAACUUAUUAAUUUUCAGCUCUUGGGGCAUAUCAGGGUACUCACAUUAGUGAAAAUCCAUAAAUGCAUUGUGUCUGAGAAGCUAGAAAGAAGCUCCUAUCUAGUCGGGCCCCAGAGAAGGAGUUCUAUGGAGGAGUUGUUCCAGUAAGAGAUCUAAUUGUGGGUGAGAAUCUGUAUAUAUGCUGUGUAUGCAAAGAGCUGUUCUCAUAGUUGAACCACAUUGUGGAAAAAACAAAAAACAACAACAACAAGAACAACAAAAAAACGAGUUGUAUGGAAAUAAUGUCUUAGCAACCCAAAAGCUUGUUCUGGAGGUGCUGGGGCAGGUUAGCAUGGAUCUGGAGGGUAACUCAGGUAAAGAUGCUUUUCUUUUGUCUCAACCACUUGAUGAUUGCUUUAGUUUCACUUUAAAAAAAAGUCAUAUAUCCAAUAAAGGAAAGAAUGUACUCUUGUGUAUAAGUAGGGCGUGGUUUAUUGUUGGAUUCAGAAAGCAGUGCUUUGACUUUUGCUUCCCAUUUUUUUUUUUUUCCUUAAAAUCUCUUGGCCAGAAUGAGAAUGGUGUGUGGCUAAGAAGCUCGGGAGUACUUAGUUUGGGUUAAAAUUCUUAGUACUUUCCUUUUGGCGUGACCAUCCUCAGCAAAAAGCAGAGCACUCAGUUCUUUCGCUUAGUGUUGACAUCUGCCCUCAGAAUUGUCCCAAUUUGUCUAAAAUUGACCUUAAAAUUUCUUUUUGAGUUAUCACUGUGGCCAUUGAAAUUUCAUAUUUGUAGGUUCAUUUAUUUUCAUGUAAAAAUAACA
rnacentral:lncRNA from 1 species